rnacentral:tRNA from 2 species
AAAAUCCGUCGACUUUAGAAAUCGUGAGGGUUCAAGUCCNUCUAUCCCC